rnacentral:tRNA from 1 species
CCCUGUAGCUCAUUUGGUAGAGCAUGGUGUUUGCAACACCAGGGUUGUGGGUUCAAUUCCCACGAGGG